rnacentral:rRNA from 1 species
AUUGAACGCUGGCGGCAGGCCUAACACAUGCAAGUCGAGCGGAUGAAGGGAGCUUGCUCCUGGAUUCAGCGGCGGACGGGUGAGUAAUUCCUAGGAAUCUGCCUGGUAGUGGGGGAUAACGUCCGGAAACGGGCGCUAAUACCGCAUACGUCCUGAGGGAGAAAGUGUGGGAUCUUCGGACCUCACGCUAUCAGAUGAUCCUAGGUCGGAUUAGCUAGUUGGUGGGGUAAAGGCCUACCAACGCGACGAUCCGUAACUGGUCUGAGAGGAUGAUCAGUCACACUGGAACGGAGACACGGUCCAGACUCCUACGGGAGGCAGCAGUGGGGAAUAUUGGACAAUGGGCGAAAGCCUGAUCCAGCCAGGCCGCGUGUGUGAAGAAGGUCUUCGGAUUGUAAAGCACUUUAAGUUGGGAGGAAGGGCAGUAAGUUAAUACCUUGCUGUUUUGACGUUACCAACAGAAUAAGCACCGGCUAACUUCGUG